rnacentral:rRNA from 2 species
ACUGGCAACUUGGAGAAGUGGCAAGUCUUCCAGUAUGGGGAGCAAACAGCUAUGGGUCAAGCCCGACAUCUUUAGGAGAAGUCUUAUUGUGAGGGCGAGUUGUAAAACACCAUAGGGCUGGCCGUCCCAUAUGAAAAGAUUUUAUUAGAAUUGAAUGAAACUUUGUUUAUAUAUUGAUAAUGACAGUAUAUAUAUCGUGUCUUGACUAAUUGCGUGCCAGCAGUCGCGGUAAUACGUAAGAGACUAGUGUUAUUCAUCUUAAUUAGGUUUAAAGGGUACCCAGACGGUCAAUAUAGCUUAUAAAAUGUUAGUACUUGACUAGAGUUUUAUGUAAGAGGGCAGUACUUGAGGAGGAGAGAUGAAAUUUCGUGAUACCAAAGGGACUCUGUAAAGGCGAAGGCAGCCCUCUAUGUAAAAACUGACGUUGAAGGACGAAGGCACAGAGAACAAACAGGAUUAGAUACCCAAGUAGUCUUUGCAGUAAAUGAUGAAUGCCAUAGGUUAGAUUAAUAGUUAAUGUAUAUAGGCUAGUAUAAUAGACUAUACAUUAAAAAUUAUUUGGUCUAUAAAUGAAAGUGUAAGCAUUUCACCUCAAGAGUAAUGUG